UUCGAACUUAUUCUCUUUCAGUGCCCAAGAGCAAACAUCUGAUGACAGCCGGAACACAUCAAGCAGAAUGCUUGAUAAUCUCGGCAUAAGUGUAACUUGGAACUAACUUGAUAAUCUUAACUGUGUUGAAAUCAAAGGCAUAGGGGCUGACUAGUGUCUGAGAAAAAAAAUUCACAGCAUGCUUUGUUUCCGAGGCUGCAACCAAAUUGUUUCACCUUAACCAUGGGGAAUUUAAAGGCAAGAUUAACAUUCUCCUUUCCUUCCUUUUCAAAACCCGAAAAAAUACGUAUACAUUUAUUUAAAUUUAGAUUUUCUUAAUGUGUUUUAUAAAUUAAACAAGGAAAAGUAUAGAAAAUAUUGAUAAAUAUAAAAACUUGAAAAAAAGUAGUUUUUUUUUAAUGUUCAUGAACUAAAAGCAUUUAACAGGUAAAUAAAAGCUGGCCAAAUUUCCACCUCCGCCUGAAACUAUGAAAUUCCUUUUUGAGUGGAGAACCCACUGGCUUAAAGACUUGUUAUUGUUACAAAUUAAGAGAUAGUAACAAUUGUUCUUCAUGUUCUGCCUCAAAUUUGUAUUUGUAUUUCAAAACCACUUUAAUUUUGAAAUUAUAAAUCUGUACAUUCGUUCACAAAUUUCGGUCAGUUUUGUCAUUUGUUUCUGUUUUCUAAAACUUGAAUAUAUAUCUGUAUUUUUGUGUGCUUAGGUAAAUUAUUUGUUAUUUAACUUAAUCUAGUAUUUUUAACCCUGUGAUAUAAAACUAUUUUCCCCCUCUUUGCAGGUUCAACAAUUAAAAAUUCACAUAUGUAUCAAGCUUUCUUUAGAACUGAGAAGUUAUCUGUGGGAAUAAACCUCUACCAUUGUUUAUUUUGUAAAUACACUUCCAGAUACCUAACUAAUGUGCGCCGCCAUAUUUUAAUUCACACUGGACAGAAACCAUAUCAGUGUGAAAUAUGUGGUGUAAAAUUUAGACAGAAGGAACAUUUAAAAGGCCAUGUUUUCAUGAAGCAUAAUGUUAAAUUUGGACAAUAAGACUGCCAACAUUUUAAUUUCAAGUUACGGUCAUUCCUCAAAAUGUGUUAACUGCAGACAUCUCUUACUACCGUAUUAUUCGAACGCACCUUCGAAAAACUGAUUAAAAUUUGAGUAGCAUUUUAGAUUUAGAAAAGAGGCGAUACGUAUUAUAAACUGGAAUAAGAAGAUUCUAAAAGAAAUUAAUGCAGAAUUAUAUGUCAUUCCUAAUGGUCUGACAUAUCAGUUGCAGCCUCUAAACUGAGUGAUAAACCAUUUAAAGCUUUUAUAUGGAAAGAGCAGAACGAAUGGUUAGCGAAAUAAAGAUUGACACGGCCGACAAGAUGUCUGCUCCGUGGUGGAAAAUCGUGGAAAGCUAUAAAGAAAAAACUACGAAACCUUUUUAAAAAUGUAAUAAUUAACACAUUGGAGUGUACCUAAGGUAAUAGAUAUAGUUUUGGAAAAAUUAGUAAUAAUUCGUUAAGUGACAGUAACAAAAUACUUAAAGAUGAAUUGAAUGUUGAUGAGACAAGUAAUGAUAAUAUUUUUUUUUAAAAAUUAAAAGUUUGUAAAUAUUUAAUGGAAUAAAAUAUUUUUUCUUAA